CUAUAACUUCCCUGGGGGAGUUACUUUUGUUAUCUAAAGCGUUUAAUUCAUUUACAAUAUAGUAGAAUACAUUGUUUUGGUUCACUAAUAUAAUAGAAAACAUUGUUUUAAGGGAUAAGUCAACCACUUUUGUUUCAAGUUAUCACAAGUAAUUUGAUCCUUCGAUCCAUUGUAUAACUUCCUAUAAGUAUGUUCGAGCUGUCUUACAUUCUGUUACAUUGUAUUGUCAUCCACCAAGUUAUAUCUGCUGUAUGUAACCCUGUGUAACAGCCUAAUUUGCCGCGCUACAGAAAUAAACCCAUCUGCACAGGAAAAGCAAGCCAUGUCAAUUAUUUCUAUAAACGUCACCUGAAAUACUAUUCCCAUGACAAUGAAGCUGUGUUGGCACCUUGAAAACAUGUUAUACUAAUAAAAUACCAAGUCUGAAAACAUGUAGAAUGCAUGUGAACUGUAUGUUGGCUGACUAUAAAUGUUUACACUUUAUGUGUGCAGUUAUAGUGAAUCUACAUAAGUGGGAGCCGAGGCAAUAUUUAAUGUCUGCAAGAUAACUUUGUUCUGCAUGUGAACGCAGGUCAAUGUGUGAUCAAUAAUAAUAUGGCAGAUCUGAUUAUCGAAAUGCGUGCUGAGGCAUUUGUGUUAGUGUGACUUAUAAGUUAGAGUAUAGCCGUUUGUUUGGGUUCUCUAAGUUACCCUACAUUUGAUCCUUUAUGUAAGGACUUUUCCAUCUUAGUUUGCUCCUAAGUGGUUCAUACCCU